AUUGAACGCUGGCGGCAGGCCUAACACAUGCAAGUCGAGCGGAUGAGAAGAGCUUGCUCUUCGAUUCAGCGGCGGACGGGUGAGUAAUGCCUAGGAAUCUGCCUGGUAGUGGGGGACAACGUUUCGAAAGGAACGCUAAUACCGCAUACGUCCUACGGGAGAAAGCAGGGGACCUUCGGGCCUUGCGCUAUCAGAUGAGCCUAGGUCGGAUUAGCUAGUUGGUGAGGUAAUGGCUCACCAAGGCGACGAUCCGUAGC
rnacentral:rRNA from 1 species